rnacentral:piRNA from 1 species
CUAGAGGCUUGGAAAUGAC